CCUGGGGCGUUAGGGGACGUGUAGUCCACAGGGUGGCCAGGUUCCGAUUUCAGGCGCCGGUCUGACGUCCGAGCCUGGCUGUUUAGUCUUCCUUCCCGUGAUCGUGGCGCUGAUGUUUCAGCCCCGCGAACGGGGGGCGAGGACGAAAUUGGCGUCCUCCUAGUUCUCACAACAAGGAAUUACUAGCCCCUUUCCGAGUCAUUUAGUAACCACAAGACGCAUCGCUAGUUCUAAAAAAGGCGUUUUUCCUGCAAGCUUAUCCGAACCCUACUUCAGUUUCCCCCAUUUUGCGCUUUCCAAGUGUUUUGGGCUUCAACUCCCAUAAUCCCCCCCGCCAGCAUGGACAUCCGGAGGAUGCUAGAUGGGAAUCUUUGCGCAGGAAGAGAAGGUGGAGUUUUCAGGUAAUUCCUGCCGCAGAUGCCUAGGCUUGUCUGCAACUGGAGACGGCGUGAAACUUCCAGGCGGCUUAUCAAAAUCCCCCCAUCGGCAUCAGCCCAAAGUCUGGCCCAUCCCGGCCCUGGUUUUACUUGGUGGUCACCCAGGGGCAUUCUGGGAAACUGAGAGGCCAAUCAUGGAUUCCUCACUUGUAUCCUGUCUCCGACACUGGUCUCCUCCAAGGAAGAUGCUUGGGUCAUGCUGAGCUUAAUGCAGCUAUAAUCAGCACAGAGCCUUGUCUCGGCAGGAUCAGGCCAUCUUCGGGUGUGGAGGACAUCUUAUGCGCAUCCUUGGCCGCCAAAGCAUGAAGCAGCCACAGAACAGUUCAAGGGCUCUCCUUUCUCUGCUGGUCGGCCUCCAACUGGCCGUGCGGACGCCUGGCCGUCGCUUGCAUCACCAGAGGCAGCCAUCUUCCAGGGCGGGCAGAUGCGCGAGCGGCUGGUAGACGCCACAAUGACAUGACAGCCAUCGUGACAUCACUGUGCAAAUGAUGCAAGGAUCCAGUGGAGCACCUCUGACAGAGGACCAUCCAGCCUCUGCAGAAGACCUCCAGCAAAGAAGACCGCCACUUCAUGAGGCAGCCCGUCCCGCUGGCCGACAGCUCGUAAUCCAGAUGUUCCUCCUGACGUUUAACCAAAGGCCUUUCCGAUAUAGAAAGCAUCACAUUCUAUGCAUCAUUUUUCCACCGAUCUUCUGUUGUACAAAUCUGCAUCUUGUAGAUCAGUUCUAUUACAGCCUUUUUAGCCAGCAAAUAAGACAAAGAGAAAAGAGGAAAAAUAAUAAAAAUAGAUCUCAUAAGCAGGUAAAGCAAUCCAUUUUCAUUCCUAUUAUGGCUUCCCUGCCAACGCCUUGAUGCUAAAUA